rnacentral:rRNA from 1 species
UACGUAGGGUGCGAGCGUUGUCCGGAAUUACUGGGCGUAAAGAGCUCGUAGGUGGUUUGUCGCGUUGUUCGUGAAAACUCACAGCUCAACUGUGGGCGUGCGGGCGAUACGGGCAGACUGGGAGUACUGCAGGGGAGACUGGAAUUCCUGGUGUAGCGGUGGGAAUGCGCCAGGAUAAUCGAGGAGGAACGAGCCGGUGGCGGAAGG